rnacentral:rRNA from 1 species
UACGUAGGGUGCGAGCGUUAAUCGGAAUUACUGGGCGUAAAGCGUGCGCAGGCGGUUCUAUAAGACAGAUGUGAAAUCCCCGGGCUCAACCUGGGAAUGGCAUUUGUGACUGUAGAGCUAGAGUACGGUAGAGGGGGAUGGAAUUCCGCGUGUAGCAGUGAAAUGCGUAGAUAUGCGGAGGAACACCGAUGGCGAAGGCAAUCCCCUGGACCUGUACUGACGCUCAUGCACGUAGGCGUGUGCGGCAUACCGGAUCAGCUACCCGUGUAGUCC